GGUGGCCCUAGGCAGGGAAGAGGAAGCAGCUCCUGGGGCAGUGGCCCUGGGAAGGAGGUGUGAGGGCUGUCAUGGAGAGACCAAUGAAGAUGUUGACCCUAGUGCAUGGCAACUGUGAAAAAGAUGGAUUCCAUGGUAAGGAUCAUUAGGAAAGGGACUGAAAUGAAACUGUCAACAUCACAAUGCAGUUAUAUAAAUGAAGCUAAGUGUUUGAAGAUUCAAGACAAACUAAAGAAAGUAUUCCUUCACAUAGCACAUAGUUAAACUAUGCAAUUCAACCCCACAAGAUGUAGGAAUGGCCACCAGCUUGGAUGGCUUUAAAAGAGGAUUAGACAAACUGAUGAAGGAUAAGGAUAUCAGCGGCUGUAGGCCAUGAUACCUGUGCUCUCUCCACCACUGGAACAAGUUUUAUUCUGAACACCAGUUGCUAGGAAUGGGCUUGGCGGGGGGUGCUGCUUGCAGGCUUGUCAUGAGCACCUGGUUGACCACUGGCAGAGCUCUCCUUAUGCUCUUAGAAGUCCUUAAAAGUCAUUUGGGUUUUUGAGUCCUAGGGAUCAGUACUGUGUGGGGAGGUGGGGGAGUUUGCACACUUUUACUACCAUAGAGACCAGUGAAUCUAAUUUCAUUUUCAUGUUUUUAUUUUCUAUAUUAGAAAAUUGUGCUCAGGAAGUCACUUUUAAAUUUAGUUAGUUUAUACCCACUUCCUGCAUAGAGUCAUACUUGUGUUUUAAGAUGUCAGAAGGUAAUACAUGUGUUGACCAGUGAAAGAUGCACAAACUCCCAAUAUGCCUUUGGAUGCUUUCCAUUUCUGUCCAAAAUAACGCACCAACAUUCCAUUUUCUUUUUUUGAGAGAGACAGGUGUGACUUCCAUGAUAUGUCUCAUGAAAGCAAUGCUGGAAGUAGUUUUGCUAACAGCAUUUGUCACAAAAUAAGAAAGGACUGAGCCUCAUACUUCAUUCUGCAAAUGGUACUUGUGCAUCUGCUUUCUUAUACAGGGUCUGUAUCUAAUAUUCUAGCUCUCUCUCCUCCAUCUUAAACUUCAGAGUAGUAACUAAUAUUGAUGUGUGGAUAGCAUGCUUUUGCCGAUAGCUGAUGCAGUGUUUUAGAGAGUUUCUCUGGCAUCCCAUCUGUCUUUCUCUCUGACUGGCUUGAUCUGGCAUUCUGACAUAGUUCCAAUAAUAAAGGGGAGGAUUUAUUUAGUAGCAUAUUAAUGAAUGCUGUGGAGCCUUGCAUUUAUAAACUUCCAUUUGCCAAGAGAAAAUCGCAUCCGCUGUGUGACAAACAUGUUCAGCUGAAAUGCUUUUUAUUAAAAUGUAAUCAUGCAUGUUUAUACAUUACAUUUUAAUAAAAAGCCUGCCAUACAUCUAACAAGACCUAGUAAAUUAGAGCUGUAUAUAAAGUUCCAGAAUAUCCAUACAACAGGAAAUCUUUUACUGCAACAGGUCCUAAAUAAUGUUACACUGAAAUGGAUACACAGACAGAUGGAAAAUUUCAUUCUGCAGCAGGUAGAGUUUCACCAUAGCAAAAUGCUAAAGUAAUACUUAAAAUAGUACUCUUUCUCCAGCAGUAGUGAACUGAGGGCAGAUCUACACCAUACAUUUAAAGCACAUGCAAUGCAUAUUUAAAGCACAUUACUUCCCCCCAAAGUGGGGAAUGUAGUUUCACCCUCUCAGAGCAGUUGCAAGAUGCAGUUCCCAUGAUUCUUUGGGAGAAGCCAUAUGCUUCAAAUUUAUGCUGAAUAUGCUUUAAAUGAAUGUUGUGGAUCAGCUGCCUAUCCCCCCAAUGAAUCUGAGUACCCAGGGCAAUGUAGAAACACAUCACAUUUUUUCCUAUAGAUUCACAUGCUGAAAUUCUGUAUCCUAGAGCAUACUUCUAGGUCUAGUUGAAUUCCCAGAGGAAAAAUAUGUUACUGUACAGCUAGAUUUGCUUUCAAGUUUGGUAUCAAGGAAUCUAGAAAUGUAGGUUGUUUAAAACUUUGUAAAUUAAUAACAAAACUUUAAACUUGGCCCAGUGCAGUUCUUUUAAUAGAGAUGUUGCAUGCUGGUGGAAAGUUGCACCACUCACCAGCCUAGCUGUUGUAUGCUAUACCUGCUGCAGUUUCUGGUCAACCUUAAGGGCAACUUCACAUAAAGUGCAUUGUAGUUGUCCAUUCUUGCAGUUCUCAAUGCCCGAGUCAGGGUUGUCAGUGCCUGAACAGGCCACUGAGUGAUAUCCCAGACCCAGAAACCACUUGCCCACAAGGCUUCUAAUUUGCUGGGGUUCAUCCUAAAUACUAUCCUAGGACUUAUACAACCAGAUAUGACUCAAAUGUUGUACAGAAAUAGCAUUGGGUGGUAGCAUAGUGGCGACACCAUUCUCCAAAUACCCUAAAGCAGCCUUUCUCGACCUUAGGCAUCAAGAUGUUGUUGGACUACAACUCCCAUCAUCCCUAGCUAGCAGGACCAGUGGUUAGGGAUUAUGGGAAUUGUAGCCGAACAUCAUCUGUGGAACCCAAGAUUAAGAUUAAGAAACGACUUCACAUAGAUGUUCAACCAGUUCACAUAUAUGUUAAACAGCAUUGGGUACAACCCACAACAUAACUGCCAGGGGCCUUGGAAAUGCCACUCUCUGAAAUUGGUCCCAGAGAUAGGGGUGGCAGCACUGAAGCACAUUGCCUCCAACACCCAAUCUACCAAGUUGGUCUAGAAGGAUACCAUGUCCAAUGGUAUAACAUGUAAAGGAGUGAGUAGUCGCAACAACGUCAGGCUUCUCCUGUCCUUUUCUCAAUAAAAGUAAUCCAAAAAAGUUCUUGUGAGAUGCAGCAUAGCUUCAGCAAUGGAUGGCAGGAGAAAGAUGGGCAUGACUGGGGAUGACAACAAUGCCUUUGACUACUGUGAACUUAGCUGUACCGUCACAAUCCUAUAUGCUGUGUAGUAAUUUGUAAGCAUGUAACAGUUUUCCCCCUUUUCAUCCAAAUCUUUUUUUGAAAUGUUUUAUCUCUUUAUUCAUAGCGACUUAAUUCAAACCACAAGCCAAAAGUACUUAGAUGCGUUAAGAAUAGAUAGCUAAUGUGUUAAAAAUCCAAAUCCAAAUUUGUAUAUUCCUAUCUUAAUCAUGAACUGAAACUGCUACCCUCACUCCUGAGUUUAGAACAUUGAUCAGUUUGGGAGAGGAUAGUUGGCCCACAUAUCAUAUGACUUGAUGCACAGUUAAAUGUGUUAUUUGUAAGUCACCCAGAGAACUUUAUGUUAUCAGGCAGCAUUCAAAAGUCCUGAACAAAUU